rnacentral:lncRNA from 1 species
UCCCAUAGUUCAACCAUGUAAAAAUGUAAUACCUUAUCAUGAGGGGGAGAUGAGGAUUGCAAUGACUUAAAAAAACAGGAUAUGAACCACUUUAGCAUUUUUUGGUUUCCUUGGGUCUGAGCCUCGGGUUUUAUGUUUUUGAUAUUGGUGAUAUAUGUGAUGCUCUUGAGUUUGUGAGAGGUGGGUUAUAUAGGAUAUGAGAUGGCGAUUUCUGGUUAGAUAAUAGUCUAUUUUAUUAAAAUGAAAUUUAAAGUAGAUGUCAACUUAGAAUAUUCUUUUCGAAUUAUUUGGGUUACAAAGGUCGUAGAUGCUGUUAUAAUAGAUAUGGUUAGACCAAAAAAUGAAAAAAGGAAAAGGUCCAAAAUGACUUUCAUAGGUAG